AUUGAACGCUGGCGGCAGGCCUAACACAUGCAAGUCGAACGGUAGCAGGAAGAAGCUUGCUUCUUUGCUGACGAGUGGCGGACGGGUGAGUAAUGUCUGGGAAACUGCCUGAUGGAGGGGGAUAACUACUGGAAACGGUAGCUAAUACCGCAUAACGUCGCAAGACCAAAGAGGGGGACCUUCGGGCCUUUUGCCAUCGGAUGUGCCCAGAUGGGAUUAGCUAGUAGGUGGGGUAACGGCUCACCUAGGCGACGAUCCCUAGCUGGUCUGAGAGGAUGACCAGCCACACUGGAACUGAGACACGGUCCAGACUCCUACGGGAGGCAGCAGUGGGGAAUAUUGCACAAUGGGCGCAAGCCUGAUGCAGCCAUGCCGCGUGUAUGAAGAAGGCCUUCGGGUUGUAAAGUACUUUCAGCGGGGAGGAAGGGAGUAAAGUUAAUACCUUUGCUCAUUGACGUUACCCGCAGAAGAAGCACCGGCUAACUCCGUG
rnacentral:rRNA from 1 species